rnacentral:rRNA from 1 species
AGUGGAUGGGGAGCAACCUAGUUGUGCGUGUGUAAAGGUAGUGCCAAGAAAAGCGAUGAUCAUGUUGAAAAUCAAUUCCCGGUACCCGAAACCGACACAGGUGGGCAAGUAGAGAAUACUAAGGGGCGCGAGGUAACUCUCUCCAAGGAACUCGGCAAAAUGACCCCGUAACUUAGGGAGAAGGGGUGCCACCGAGAGGUGGUCGCAGUGAAGAGGCCCAGGCGACUGUUUAGCAAAAACAUAGGUCUCUGCAAACUCGAAAGAGGAGGUAUAGGGGCUGACGCCUGCCCAGUGCCGGAAGGUUAAAGAAGUUGGUCAGUUUUAGGAUGAAGCUAGCGACUGAAGCCCCGGUGAACGGCGGCCGUAACUAUAACGGUCCUAAGGUAGCGAAAUUCCUUGUCGGGUAAGUUCCGACCCGCACGAAAGGCGUAACGAUCUGGGCGCUGUCUCGGAGAGAGGCUCGGCGAAAUAGGAUUGUCUGUGAAGAUACGGACUACCUGCAUUUGGACAGAAAGACCCUAUGAAGCUUUACUAUAGCUUGGAGUUGUGUUCGGGCUUCCUGUGCGCAGGAUAGGUGGGAGGCGUAGAAGGUAUUCUUGUGGGGAUACUGGAGCCAACGGUGAGAUACCACUCUCAGGAGGCUAGAAUUCUAACUUAAUUAAGGACAGUUUCAGGUGGGUAGUUUGACUGGGGCGGUCGCCUCCAAAAAGGUAGCGGAGGCGUACAAAGGUUCCCUCAGACUGGUUGGAAAUCAGUCGAAGAGUGCAAAGGCAGAAGGGAGCUUGACUGCGAGAAGUACAGUUCGAGCAGGGUGGAAACACGGUCUUAGUGAUCCGACGGUGCUGUGUGGAAGGGCCGUCGCUCAACGGAUAAAAGUUACUCUAGGAUAACAGGCUGAUCUCCCCCAAGAGUUCACAUCGACGGGGAGGUUUGGCACCUCGAUGUCGGCUCAUCGCAACCUGGGGCGGAAGUACGUCCCAAGGGUUGGGCUGUUCGCCCAUUAAAGCGGUACGUGAGCUGGGUUCAGAACGUCGUGAGACAGUUCGGUCCAUAUCCGAUGUAGGCGUGAGAAUAUUGAGAGGAGCCUUCCUUAGUACGAGAGGACCGGGAAGGACGCACCGCUGGUGUACCUGUUAUGAUGCCAAUUGUAAACGCAGGGUAGCCAAGUGCGGAGAGGAUAACCGCUGAAAGCAUCUAAGUGGGAAGCCCACCUCAAGAUGAGUAUUCUGGUGUAAGGUCACGGGAAGACGACCCGUAAAUAGGCACGAGGUGGAAGUGCAGAGAUGUAUGAAGCCGAAGUGUACUAAUAGACCGUCGGCUUGACC